rnacentral:rRNA from 1 species
CGGGGAGCAGCAGGCGCGAAACCUUUACACUGCACGACAGUGCGAUAGGGGGAUCCCAAGUGCACAGGCAUAGCGCCUGUGCUUUUCGGUACCGUAAGGUGGUACCAGAAUAAGGGCUGGGCAAGACCGGUGCCAGCCGCCGCGGUAAUACCGGCAGCCCAAGUGAUGGCCGAUCUUAUUGGGCCUAAAGCGUCCGUAGCUGGCCGCGCAAGUCCAUCGGGAAAUCCACCUGCUCAACAGGUGGGCGCCCGGUAGAAACUGCGUGGCUUGGGACCGGAAGGCGCGACGGGUACGUCCGGGGUAGGAGUGAAAUCCCGUAAUCCUGGACGGACCGCCGAUGGCGAAAGCACGUCGCGAGGACGGAUCCGACAGUGAGGGACGAAAGCCAGGGUCUCGAACCGGAUUAGAUACCCGGGUAGUCCUGGCCGUAAACAAUGUCUGCCAGGUGUGGCUCCCACUACGAGUGGGUGCUGUGCCGUAGGGAAGCCGCUAAGCAGACCGCCUGGGAAGUACGUCCGCAAGGAUGAAACUCAAAUGAAUUGACGG